GCAGCCGCAGGCGGAAGUACAGGUGACGCCAUCAGCCGUCGCCUGAGCGGUGGCGCGCGGGUGGCCGAAAGAUGAAAGUGAGCUUUCGAGGGCCGGGUUCCGGGCCCUCGCGAGAGGGCAGAACUGUGGUGCGUGGAGCUGGCGGGCAGGCUGGAGAAGAGCGGCCCGGGCCGGUUGGAAAGCGGGUGCGGAAGCGCAGACCAGACACUUUGUUAGCGGGAGGCCCUGACCGCCAGAUCCGGGAGGUGGGGCCUUGUUCUGGGCUGUUGUACGUAGUUUUCGUGCCUGGCCAUUUUUUUCUACCGCCAAAUGGUGAGUUAGGGCUUUGAAUCUAGAGAGAUGGCGUCGUGUAAAGGAAAGAGCCCCCUUUUCCUAAGUUUAACUUUUGGAUCAUAGACUUCAUGAACCUCUGAGUUUAUAUUUGUGUAGCAUGAAGGAGAUCCAAAGUUUCCGAAGGAGAGAAGACAGGAGAAGGAAGCAGGAACCGUGCCCGUCUUUGCAGACGAUUCAGUCCUUCCACCCCUCACCUACUCAACUUUUAUCUGUGAAUGUCAGAGGAAUGAGAUACUCCCUGCUCUUACACAAGGGUUGAAACCCUAAGGGGUAAGGGACAGAUACUGCCAGGAAGACUUCGGAAUUUAAAAACAGGGAACUUGUGACUUGUGCCCUGUUUCCCACUUGGAAUUUUGCCCAACAGAGGCAACUACAAUCAAGUGGAAAUGGCAGCAUAUUGUGUUUAAGCAGAGGGCCAGGCAGCAUUGAUAACCACUCCUAUUCUUUCAUCUUCCUUGACAGCAGUGAACUGAAAAGGAGAUACAGAAUUCUUUAAGAGGAAACCUGAAAGUAAGCUCUGAAUGUCUAUGACAAUGGCUCAGUGACUUACGAACACGACCUUAUAUCUUCAGUAUCAUCAAGGGUGGAAGAGGCAUCUGAAGAAAGUGGAAAGCCUAAAUCUGCCUAUUCUGUCCCCAGGAGAUGGUGAGAAGUAGAUAUCAAGAGUCAUGAAACGCAUGCCCUGACCUCCCCUCUCCAGGGUGAAGUUCUGGAAAGAAGAUGUGUUAGAUCAGUUGAGGGCAUGGGUGCAUUCAUUCUGAAUACAGAGAUGACCAUCUGCAAGCCAGAAAGAGAGCUCUCCUCAACCUGACCGUGCUGGAACCCUGAUCUAGGACCUCCAGCCUCCAUAACAUAUGCUACUAUUGAGGGGGAGGAGAGGUGCAGAAAUGUGGAAAAAUAUGGAUGGAUCAUUGAAGAGCAAAUUUUUCUACCUUAGGAGAUGAAAUAUUCAUGACUAGAAAAGAGUUUUAAUUCUCCCCAAGGCAUUGAAUAGUGAGAAGAUCAUAUACAAGAAAGGGAAAGAGAAAAUAUUUCAAGAAGUAUUGUGAAAGCAACCCAGAAGUAGUAACCUAUCACAAAAGGAGAUGACAUAAGGACUGGACCAAGAAGAUGGACAGAUGGAGGGAAACCUGAUUUGAAUGACUUGGUGAGAAGCUUCAGGAAUGCAGAGAGUAGUCAGAGGGCAUAGGUUUAAGGUUAUGAUGGGUUAGCAAAGAAGUGGGGAACUGGUCCCAAGCGAGAUUUCAUCUAUUUCAAAACUGUGCUUUUUCUAUCUGUCAACAUGAAUGCUUUAAAAAUAUUGGACAAAAGGGAUAAAGGGUCAGCUUUAAUCCCAGUUGUAUUUCAAAUGUUAUUUUUUUCUCUUCUAAAUGAUCAGUACAUUAUUGUUCCUUCCAUAUUGAAGUAAUCUUCUUAACCACUCUCUUUAAAUUUCAUCCAUAAAAAUGGGAGAACAUUAAAAAAUUUUUGGAGCUAGUUUCCUAUUUACCAAGAAACUAGAUUCUGUAAGCCAUAUUUAUAACUCUUGUUUUAAAUAAUUACAUUUACUCUCAUACCAUUUUCCUUCGAUGACUAACUGAAUAUGAGUUUAAAAGGUUGAAGAACAGAGUAUUUAGAAAUAACCAACAAUUGUGUAGUUUUAUUCUUCUCAGUACAGCAUGUACAUUUAGAAUUAAUAUGAGAAAAAUGGAAGUAUCCUUACUUUGGGAACCACAUGUUCAAGGGUUUUUUAUUAAUUAAGAUAAGUUUUGAGCAGAUAGUGUUAAGAAUUAAAUAUUUUAAUUUCUCAACCAUCUGUUAAUCUUUAAAAAGGAUACACAUGUGGAAAACACAUUAUUGAUACUCCAAGGAAAGAUUCCUUCAGGAGUUUUCAAUUUUAUAUUUGGAAACUAUGGGACCUUCAUUAAACAUAGGACUUUCAAUUUUAAGUUUCUAGAAUUACAGUGAAUUUGAUUUUUUUUUGUUUUCUAUAUUUACCAUUAUAUUACAAUAUAAUAUUGCAGUGCAAAUUAGAUAGAGAGACUAUUAUUAUUUUCAUUUGUUAAAUAAAAAAUGUGCACAAAGUAUAUGUAUGAAUGACAAAGGUCUGAUUCUGUGAAUUGGUAAUACCAUUAUAUCCAAUGAUAAAGAUUCCAUGUUUGGUCAGACCUUCUCAGAAGACUCAUAAGGAAAAAGCUUGGGUUGAACACUUACUUCAAAUGAAAGAUGCCUACUUUUUCUUGGAAGCAAAAAGAAAAAUUGACAUAAUUUAUCCAAAAGGGAGAAAGGAAAAAAGUAUGAAAUAGGGAUGGAAAGAAUAUGAUGCCUGGUAAAGAAGAUCUAGGAUUCUUAUAACCCCUAAAGGCAUAAUCAGACUCAGCCUGUCCUGUGUAUAUUUUGAUGGCAAAGAUCAUCAUUACUGCCAUUGCAUCCAUUUUCUUCCUCAUGUCUUCUUAACUGAAAGUUUUAUGACAGAUAGCCACAUUGCCUCUGAGUACUUUGCGCCAGGGCCUGGAUCAUAUGUGGGCUAGAGCUGAGAUGAAAAUGUAGGACUUCUGAAUACCCAUUUGAGUUGUUACUGUUGCUAUAGCUUUCUUAGUUUGCAUCUGAAACGUCAGCUUUUUCGGACAAAACAGUUUCAGAAGAAUGAAAAGGCAUGGAAGCCCUCUAAUAUGUGUGUGUGUGUCUGUACAUUUUUCAUUACUUAUCAGUAAAAGCAUAUUUGAAAUUAGUAAUAGAUACAGUUUGGAGCUUAGCUCUUUUUUAGUAUGUCUUAUUUCUGAGCUAAGUCGUUGGUUCGGUUAAAUUUUUGCAAAUAUUGAAACUAAAAUGUUCAAAUGACAAGUCACAGACAGAGGACAUGGUAAUGGUACAAAUCGUUUAAACUCUUAUGUAAAAAUUGAUAAGAUGUUUUACAUAACUUUAAUGACUUGACAAGGUCUUGUAGAGAAAACAGUUCCAGAUGGCAAACAUACGUAAGGGAUUUAGUCAAACAAUUUUUUGGCAAGAAUGCUAUGAAUUU